rnacentral:rRNA from 1 species
GACGAACCGUACGAACGUUGUUCGGAAUCACUGGGCUUAAAGGGCGCGUAGGCGGACCGCCAAGUCCGAGGUGAAAUCCUCCAGCUCAACUGGAGAACUGCCUCGGAUACUGGAGGUCUCGAGGGAGGUAGGGGCAAGCGGAACUGUGGGUGGAGCGGUGAAAUGCGUUGAUAUCCACAGGAACUCCGGUGGCGAAGGCGGCUUGCUGGACCUUUUCUGACGCUGAGGCGCGAAAGCCAGGGGAGCAAACGGG